AUUUUAUCCAAUUCUUUUGGUUUAAUUUUCUUGCGUGGUGUGGUCGGUGCUUGGGAGCAAGUGCGCGGUGGAAGCAACUGAACGACCAUCUCGCCGCCUUUCGUUCUCUCAUGCCGUCAAGCGAAUGGUGAUUAGGGCGGCGAGCAGGCGUCCAUAAUCGGCGGCGUGGUGGAUUAAAUCCAGGAACUGCAGCAAAUCUUGCGAGGCCAAGAAGCAGCGCAUUCGGAAGCCGUGGUUAUAAGCCCCAGGCAGGGCCUAAUUUGAUGCAUACCGGAGGGAGCGGUCGAAUGAGCGGACUACCGAAAACAAAAUAGGGAGUUUUUCGUACUCUUCUCUUUUACAUUUACGCAUUGCAUUUAUUUUAUCAUAUUGCAGCAUAUAGAGUUAGGAUUAUUUUUAUGUCCCGGGACUUGCAUGCAUGCAUUAAUUUUUUUA